UUAUUUGAAAUGUGAAUUUUAUUAACCAAGAUUAUUAUAAGUUAAGAUCUUUAAAAUUAAAAAAUUUGGCGGUAUUUUAGUCUAUUCAGAGGAACCUGUUUUUUAAUUGAUAGUCCACGAUAAUUUUUACCUUAGUUUUAAAUUUACAUAUCGUUGUUUAUAAAAAUUUUAGGAGGAUUAUAAUUUUUGAGAUUUUUAAUUUAAAAAUAUUUCAGAUCAAGGUGUAGUUAAUAUUAAGGUUAAAAUGGGUUACAUUAAUUUAAAUUUUGGAUUUUAUUUUUUGAAAAUAAAUGAAAUUGGAUUUGAUAGUAAAUUCUUUAUUUUUGGGUGUUGAUUUAGCUCUAAAAUAUGC
rnacentral:rRNA from 1 species